rnacentral:rRNA from 1 species
UGAACGCUGGCGGUAUGCUUAACACAUGCAAGUCGAACGGAAACGAUACUAGCUUGCUAGUAGGCGUCGAGUGGCGGACGGGUGAGUAACGCGUAGGAAUCUGCCUGAUAGUGGGGGAUAGCCCGAAGAAAUUCGGAUUAAUACCGCAUAAUCUAUUCGUAGUAAAGUGGGGGACUUUCGAGCCUCACGCUAUCAGAUGAGCCUGCGUAAGAUUAGCUUGUUGGUAGGGUAAAAGCCUACCAAGGCGACGAUCUUUAGCUGGUCUGAGAGGAUGAUCAGCCACAUCGGGACUGAGACACGGCCCGAACUCCUACGGGAGGCAGCAGUGGGGAAUAUUGGACAAUGGGGGCAACCCUGAUCCAGCAAUACCGCGUGUGUGAAGAAGGCCUGAGGGUUGUAAAGCACUUUCAAUUGUGAAGAAAAGUUAGCGGUUAAUAACCGUUAGCCUUGACGUUAACUUUAGAAGAAGCACCGGCUAACUCCGUGCCAGCAGCCGCGGUAAUACGGAGGGUGCAAGCGUUAAUCGGAAUUACUGGGCGUAAAGCGUGCGUAGGCGGUUUAUUAAGUCAGAUGUGAAAGCCCCGGGCUUAACCUGGGAACUGCAUUUGAAACUGGUCAACUAGAGUAUGGUAGAGGAAAGUGGAAUUUCUGGUGUAGCGGUGAAAUGCGUAGAUAUCAGAAGGAACAUCAAUGGCGAAAGGCAGCUUUCUGGACCAAUACUGACGCUGAGGUACGAAAGCGUGGGUAGCAAACAGGAUUAGAUACCCUGGUAGUCCACGCCGUAAACGAUGAUAACUAGCCGUUGGGGGGAUUUACCCUUUAGUGGCGAAGCUAACGCGUUAAGUUAUCCGCCUGGGGAGUACGGCCGCAAGGUUAAAACUCAAAGGAAUUGACGGGGACCCGCACAAGCGGUGGAGCAUGUGGUUUAAUUCGAUGCAACGCGAAGAACCUUACCUGGUCUUGACAUCCUGCGAACUUUCUAGAAAUAGAUUGGUGCCUUCGGGAACGCAGUGACAGGUGCUGCAUGGCUGUCGUCAGCUCGUGUCGUGAGAUGUUGGGUUAAGUCCCGUAACGAGCGCAACCCCUAUCCUUAUUUGCCAGCACAUCAUGGUGGGAACUAUAAGGAGACUGCCGGUGAUAAACCGGAGGAAGGCGGGGACGACGUCAAGUCAUCAUGGCCCUUACGACCAGGGCUACACACGUGCUACAAUGGGAAGGACAAAGAGCCGCGAAGCCGCGAGGUGUAGCUAAUCUCAUAAACCUUUUCGUAGUCCGGAUUGGAGUCUGCAACUCGACUCCAUGAAGUCGGAAUCGCUAGUAAUCGUAGAUCAGAAUGCUACGGUGAAUACGUUCCCGGGUCUUGUACACACCGCCC